rnacentral:rRNA from 1 species
GGUUAAGCGACUAAGCGUACACGGUGGAUGCCCUGGCAGUCAGAGGCGAUGAAGGACGUGCUAAUCUGCGAUAAGCGUCGGUGAGGUGAUAUGAACCGUUAUAACCGGCGAUUUCCGAAUGGGGAAACCCAGUGUGAUUCGUCACACUAUCAUUAACUGAAUCCAUAGGUUAAUGAGGCGAACCGGGGGAACUGAAACAUCUAAGUACCCCGAGGAAAAGAAAUCAACCGAGAUUCCCCCAGUAGCGGCGAGCGAACGGGGAGGAGCCCAGAGCCUGAAUCAGUGUGUGUGUUAGUGGAAGCGUCUGGAAAGGCGCGCGAUACAGGGUGACAGCCCCGUACACAAAAAUGCACAUGCUGUGAGCUCGAUGAGUAGGGCGGGACACGUGGUAUCCUGUCUGAAUAUGGGGGGACCAUCCUCCAAGGCUAAAUACUCCUGACUGACCGAUAGUGAACCAGUACCGUGAGGGAAAGGCGAAAAGAACCCCGGCGAGGGGAGUGAAAAAGAACCUGAAACCGUGUACGUACAAGCAGUGGGAGCCUCUUAAUGGGGUGACUGCGUACCUUUUGUAUAAUGGGUCAGCGACUUAUAUUCUGUAGCAAGGUUAACCGAAUAGGGGAGCCGAAGGGAAACCGAGUCUUAACUGGGCGUUAAGUUGCAGGGUAUAGACCCGAAACCCGGUGAUCUAGCCAUGGGCAGGUUGAAGGUUGGGUAACACUAACUGGAGGACCGAACCGACUAAUGUUGAAAAAUUAGCGGAUGACUUGUGGCUGGGGGUGAAAGGCCAAUCAAACCGGGAGAUAGCUGGUUCUCCCCGAAAGCUAUUUAGGUAGCGCCUCGUGAAUUCAUCUCCGGGGGUAGAGCACUGUUUCGGCAAGGGGGUCAUCCCGACUUACCAACCCGAUGCAAACUGCGAAUACCGGAGAAUGUUAUCACGGGAGACACACGGCGGGUGCUAACGUCCGUCGUGAAGAGGGAAACAACCCAGACCGCCAGCUAAGGUCCCAAAGUCAUGGUUAAGUGGGAAACGAUGUGGGAAGGCCCAGACAGCCAGGAUGUUGGCUUAGAAGCAGCCAUCAUUUAAAGAAAGCGUAAUAGCUCACUGGUCGAGUCGGCCUGCGCGGAAGAUGUAACGGGGCUAAACCAUGCACCGAAGCUGCGGCAGCGACACUAUGUGUUGUUGGGUAGGGGAGCGUUCUGUAAGCCUGUGAAGGUGGCCUGUGAGGGUUGCUGGAGGUAUCAGAAGUGCGAAUGCUGACAUAAGUAACGAUAAAGCGGGUGAAAAGCCCGCUCGCCGGAAGACCAAGGGUUCCUGUCCAACGUUAAUCGGGGCAGGGUGAGUCGACCCCUAAGGCGAGGCCGAAAGGCGUAGUCGAUGGGAAACAGGUUAAUAUUCCUGUACUUGGUGUUACUGCGAAGGGGGGACGGAGAAGGCUAUGUUGGCCGGGCGACGGUUGUCCCGGUUUAAGCGUGUAGGCUGGUUUUCCAGGCAAAUCCGGAAAACCAAGGCUGAGGCGUGAUGACGAGGCACUACGGUGCUGAAGUGACAAAUGCCCUGCUUCCAGGAAAAGCCUCUAAGCAUCAGGUAACAUCAAAUCGUACCCCAAACCGACACAGGUGGUCAGGUAGAGAAUACCAAGGCGCUUGAGAGAACUCGGGUGAAGGAACUAGGCAAAAUGGUGCCGUAACUUCGGGAGAAGGCACGCUGAUAUGUAGGUGAAGCGACUUGCUCGUGGAGCUGAAAUCAGUCGAAGAUACCAGCUGGCUGCAACUGUUUAUUAAAAACACAGCACUGUGCAAACACGAAAGUGGACGUAUACGGUGUGACGCCUGCCCGGUGCCGGAAGGUUAAUUGAUGGGGUUAGCGGUAACGCGAAGCUCUUGAUCGAAGCCCCGGUAAACGGCGGCCGUAACUAUAACGGUCCUAAGGUAGCGAAAUUCCUUGUCGGGUAAGUUCCGACCUGCACGAAUGGCGUAAUGAUGGCCAGGCUGUCUCCACCCGAGACUCAGUGAAAUUGAACUCGCUGUGAAGAUGCAGUGUACCCGCGGCAAGACGGAAAGACCCCGUGAACCUUUACUAUAGCUUGACACUGAACAUUGAGCCUUGAUGUGUAGGAUAGGUGGGAGGCUUUGAAGUGUGGACGCCAGUCUGCAUGGAGCCGACCUUGAAAUACCACCCUUUAAUGUUUGAUGUUCUAACGUUGGCCCCUAAUCGGGGUUGCGGACAGUGUCUGGUGGGUAGUUUGACUGGGGCGGUCUCCUCCUAAAGAGUAACGGAGGAGCACGAAGGUUGGCUAAUCCUGGUCGGACAUCAGGAGGUUAGUGCAAUGGCAUAAGCCAGCUUGACUGCGAGCGUGACGGCGCGAGCAGGUGCGAAAGCAGGUCAUAGUGAUCCGGUGGUUCUGAAUGGAAGGGCCAUCGCUCAACGGAUAAAAGGUACUCCGGGGAUAACAGGCUGAUACCGCCCAAGAGUUCAUAUCGACGGCGGUGUUUGGCACCUCGAUGUCGGCUCAUCACAUCCUGGGGCUGAAGUAGGUCCCAAGGGUAUGGCUGUUCGCCAUUUAAAGUGGUACGCGAGCUGGGUUUAGAACGUCGUGAGACAGUUCGGUCCCUAUCUGCCGUGGGCGCUGGAGAACUGAGGGGGGCUGCUCCUAGUACGAGAGGACCGGAGUGGACGCAUCACUGGUGUUCGGGUUGUCAUGCCAAUGGCACUGCCCGGUAGCUAAAUGCGGAAGAGAUAAGUGCUGAAAGCAUCUAAGCACGAAACUUGCCCCGAGAUGAGUUCUCCCUGAGACUUAGAGUCUCCUGAAGGAACGUUGAAGACGACGACGUUGAUAGGCCGGGUGUGUAAGCGCAGCGAUGCGUUGAGCUAACCGGUACUAAUGAACCGUGAGGCUUAACCUUACAACGCCGAAGAUGUUUUG